rnacentral:rRNA from 1 species
GGGGAGAGCCCAGCACCGAAUCCCGCGGCCGCCUCGGUCGCCGGGAAAUGUGGUGUUAGGGAGGAUCCGCCAUCCCGAGGUCGCGCGACACGUCCAAGUCCUUGAACGGGGCCACUUACCCAUAGAUGGUGCCAGGCCCGUAGCGACCGCCGCCGGCAACGGGAGGAUCUUUCCUCAGAGAGUUACUUGACAGUGCAACCCUAAGUGGGUGGUAAACUCCAUCUAAGGCUAAAUAUGGNCACGAGACCAAUANCGUACAAGUACCGUGAGGGAAAAUUGAAAANAACUUUGAAAAGAGAGUUCAAUANUACGUGAANCCGUUCAGGGGUACACCUGAGAAACCCGAAAUGUNGAAUGCAGAGAUUCAGCGCGUCUCGUCUUAGCGUGCGAGCGGUGGUCGAGCGACGUANGGCGUUNGCGCCGAACACGCCUUCCGCCUUGCGCGGGGAACGCGUGCACUUCUCUGCUAGUAGGACGUCNCGACCUGUUGACAGUGGCGCGGGGUUGCGAUUAAUUUCGCGUCCGGCCCGUCGCAAGUGCGAACGGUAAUNUGGCGGUCGGACCUACCGCCGACUCCGGACCCGUUUGGCUGCUGGCGGCGGUGUCCUCGGACAGANUCCGUAAAUGGCGGUCGGNGACGAUUUAGCUUUGGGUACUUUCNNGAUCCGUCUUGAAACNCGGACUAAGGAGACUANCAUGUGCGCGAGUCAUUGGGACUUAACGAAACUUAAAGGCGUAAUGAAAGUGAAGGCCGCCUCGCGCGCGCCUAGGGAGGAUGCGCCGGGCUUAGGCCUGGCGCCGCACUCCCGGGGCGUCUCGUGCUCAUCGCGAGCUGAGGCGCACCCAGAGCGUACACGCUGGGACCCUAAAGA